rnacentral:rRNA from 1 species
CCUACGGGUGGCAGCAGUGAGGAAUAUUGGUCAAUGGCCGUGAGGCUGAACCAGCCAAGUAGCGUGAGGGAAGACUGCCCUAUGGGUUGUAAACCUCUUUUAUCAGGGGGCAAAGGUGCCCACGUGUGGGUGUUUGAGAGUACCGCAUGAAUAAGCAUCGGCUAACUCCGUGCCAGCAGCCGCGGUAAUACGGAGGAUGCGGGCGUUAUCCGGAUUUAUUGGGUUUAAAGGGAGCGUAGGUGGGUCGUUAAGUCAGUCGUGAAAUUUUGCGGCUCAACCAUGAGAGUGCAAUGGGUACUGGAGGCCUUGAGUACACGUAAGGUAGGCGGAAUUCGUGGUGUAGCGGUGAAAUGCUUAGAUAUCACGAAGAACCCCGAUUGCGAAGGCAGCCUGCCAAAGUGCCACUGACACUGAUGCUCGAAAGUGCGGGUAUCAAACAGGAUUAGAUACCCCAGUAGUC